GUUCUACUGCGGCGUUGGUGACUGCCAAUAAUGUUUUAUGAUCUACGCCUUAACUUACACGGGUCUCAAGAAUCUUAGUGGCAGUAGACCGGGCUUGUACCCGGAAACUUAAAACUAAGUUCACGAAAUCCAACCUGGAUUUUUUCCAGGUCAAAAACUGAGGUAAGACGGCGUUGCGGGGAACUU
rnacentral:other from 1 species